rnacentral:tRNA from 1 species
GCGGGUAUAGCUCAAUGGUAGAGCUCUAGCCUUCCAAGCUGGUGACGUGGGUUCGAUUCCCACUAUCCGCU